UACGGGGGGGGCAAGCGUUGUUCGGAAUUACUGGGCGUAAAGGGCUCGUAGGUGGCCAACUAAGUCAGACGUGAAAUCCCUCGGCUUAACCGGGGAACUGCGUCUGAUACUGGAUGGCUUGAGUUUGGGAGAGGGACGCGGAAUUCCAGGUGUAGCGGUGAAAUGCGUAGAUAUCUGAAGGAACAUCAGUGGCGAAAGCGACUUCCUGGACGAAUACUGACGCUCAUGUGCGAAAGCGUGGGGAGCAAACAGG
rnacentral:rRNA from 1 species